UACGAAGGGGGCUAGCGUUGCUCGGAAUCACUGGGCGUAAAGGGUGCGUAGGCGGGUCUUUAAGUCAGGGGUGAAAUCCUGGAGCUCAACUCCAGAACUGCCUUUGAUGCGAAGAUCUUGAGUUCGGGAGAGGUGAGUGGAACUGCGAGUGUAGAGGUGAAAUUCGUAGAUAUUCGCAAGAACACCAGUGGCGAAGGCGGCUCACUGGCCCGAUACUGACGCUGAGGCACGAAAGCCAGGGGAGCGAACGG
rnacentral:rRNA from 1 species